AUGGACGCGAGCGCGCGCGCCGCGGCGAUCAACUUCUGGAAGGACCCGAACGCCGAGUCGUGCUGCAUCUGCGGGGAAGAGGAUGCGGGGGAGAAACACGGCGAGUUCUCCUGCCCCUACGACUACCUGGUGUCCUCCGUCGGGUACGUGCCCUGCAAGGCGAGGCUCGCCGCCUGGAGGGACGACAGGGACGUGCCGUCCGGCCACCGCGCGUUCCUGCGCCGCUUCGUGCGCGUCACCAACCUGCCAGAGCACUGCCCGCGCCCGGCUCGCAUAGCGGAGCUCUUCGCCCGGUUCGGGCCCCUGAGGAUGUGGCACGUCGCAAUGGACGCCCCCGCGGUGUGCAAGGGCUUCGCAUGCCUGGUCUUCGAGCGCCGGGAGGAUGCCGAGAAGGCCAUUGACGAGCUCAACUGCUAUUGCUUUGACGGCCAUAGCUUGCGGAUAGACUGGUUUUAUCCCAGCGCCUAA
rnacentral:rRNA from 1 species